AGCUUUGCGCAGUGGCAGUAUCGUAGCCAAUGAGGUUUAUCCGAGGCGCGAUUAUUGCUAAUUAAAGUUAACAAUUCAGUGAUAUUUAGUAUAUUCACAAUGUUGUGCCACCAUUACCUUUGUCCAGUUUCGAAAAC